CUGGCGGCAGGCCUAACACAUGCAAGUCGAGCGGCAGCGACUUAACUGAACCUUCGGGGAACGUUAAGGGCGGCGAGCGGCGGACGGGUGAGUAAUGCCUGGGAAUAUGCCCUGAUGUGGGGGAUAACUAUUGGAAACGAUAGCUAAUACCGCAUAAUCUCUUCGGAGCAAAGAGGGGGACCUUCGGGCCUCUCGCGUCAGGAUUAGCCCAGGUGGGAUUAGCUUGUUGGUGAGGUAAUGGCUCACCAAGGCAACGAUCCCUAGCUGGUCUGAGAGGAUGAUCAGCCACACUGGAACUGAGACACGGUCCAGACUCCUACGGGAGGCAGCAGUGGGGAAUAUUGCACAAUGGGGGAAACCCUGAUGCAGCCAUGCCGCGUGUGUGAAGAAGGCCUUCGGGUUGUAAAGCACUUUCAGUAGGGAGGAAGGUAGUGUAGUUAACACCUGCACUAUUUGACGUUACCUACAGAAGAAGCACCGGCUAACUCCGUGCCAGCAGCCGCGGUAAUACGGAGGGUGCGAGCGUUAAUCGGAAUUACUGGGCGUAAAGCGCAUGCAGGCGGCCUGUUAAGUCAGAUGUGAAAGCCCGGGGCUUAACCUCGGAAUUGCAUUUGAAACUGGCAGGCUAGAGUCUUGU
rnacentral:rRNA from 2 species